GACGAACGCUGGCGGCGUGCUUAACACAUGCAAGUCGAGCGGUAAGGCCCUUUCGGGGGUACGACGAGCGGCGAACGGGUGAGUAACACGUGGGUGACCUGCCCUCAGCUCUGGGAUAAGCCUGGGAAACCGGGUCUAAUACUGGAUAUGACUCCAUGACGCAUGUUGUGGGGUGGAAAGCCUUGUGCGGCUGAGGAUGGGCCCGCGGCCUAUCAGCUUGUUGGUGGGGUGAGGCCUACCAAGGCGACGACGGGUAGCCGGCCUGAGAGGGCGACCGGCCACACUGGGACUGAGACACGGCCCAGACUCCUACGGGAGGCAGCAGUGGGGAAUCUUGCGCAAUGGGCGAAAGCCUGACGCAGCGACGCCGCGUGAGGGAGGAAGGCC
rnacentral:rRNA from 1 species